GCAGAACGCGAAGAACCUUACCUGGCCUUGACAUGCCACUAACGAAGCAGAGAUGCAUUAGGUGCCCGUAAGGGAAAGUGGACACAGGUGCUGCAUGGCUGUCGUCAGCUCGUGUCGUGAGAUGUUGGGUUAAGUCCCGCAACGAGCGCAACCCUUGCCAUUAAUUGCCAUCAUUUAGUUGGGCACUUUAAUGGGACUGCCGGUGACAAACCGGAGGAAGGUGGGGAUGACGUCAAGUCCUCAUGGCCCUUAUGGCCAGGGCUUCACACGUAAUACAAUGGUCGGUACAGAGAGUUGCCAAGCCGCGAGGUGGAGCUAAUCUCAGAAAGCCGAUCGUAGUCCGGAUUGUUCUCUGCAACUCGAGAGCAUGAAGUCGGAAUCGCUAGUAAUCGCGGAUCAGCAUGUCGCGGUGAAUACGUUCCCGGGUCUUGUACACACCG
rnacentral:rRNA from 1 species